AUGUUACUGUGCAAUUAUUUUCAAGUUAUGUCUGUGCUAUGGUUUGGGUGUGUCCCCUGGAAUUCAAGUGUUGGAACCAAAUGUCUAGUCAUAUGUUAAUGAUGGGGGCGAGACCUUUGGGAGGUGACUGCAUCAAUAGGGAUCUGCCCUGAUGAAUGGACUCAUCCAUUCAUGGGUUAAUGGAUUAAUGGGAUAUUGAGGAAGUGAGUUAGGUAUCAUAAGGGUGAUUUGUUAGGAAAUCUAGAUUGGCCAUCUUUCAUGAGCCCCCUCACCACCUCAUGCCCAGAACUGCCUUGGAAUUCUACAGAGUUCCCACCUGAGGAAUGCCCUCCCCAGAUGCAAGUCCUUGACCUUGAACUUCCUAGCCUCUAGAACUAUAAGACAUUAAUUUCUUUCAUUUACAAAUUAACCAAUCUCAGGCAUUUUAUUAUAGCAACAGAAAACAGGAAGACCCGAUUGUGUAUUUGUAGGUCUUCCAUGAAGUCAAAGCAUCUUAGAGGCAUGGGCAAUUUUUCCUUAUUAGAAAUUAUUCAUAUAGCAAGUGCUCACUGCUGCUCAGAUGGGUUGGCACAGUCUGCUAGGAUGACAUCUGAAUGAACAUUUGUCUGGGGGUGACCUGCAGAUUUUGCCCACCGUUCAAAGAGUGGCUGGCCUGUUGGAAUGGAGAGCAAAAGGAACAGGAGCAGAUAGUAGUGGAUCCACUGGUUAAGCUGAUGGCCCAAGAGGUUCCAGUUCACUUCCCAGGAAGCUUUUGGGAAACUGCUAGAACUUUAGAUUAAUU
rnacentral:lncRNA from 1 species